GAUGAAGAACGUAGCGAAAUGCGAUACGUAAUGUGAAUUGCAGAAUUCAGUGAAUCAUCGAGUCUUUGAACGCACAUUGGGCCCCCUGGUAUUCCGGGGGGCAUGCCUGUCCGAGCGUCAUUGCUGCCCUCAAGCACGGCUUGUGUGUUGGGCCUCCGUCCUCCUCCCGGGGGACGGGCCCGAAAGGCAGCGGCGGCACCGCGUCCGGUCCUCGAGCGUAUGGGGCUUCGUCACCCGCUCUUGUAGGCCCGGCCGGCGCUUGCCGACACAUCAAUCUUUUUUCCAGGUUGACCUCGGAUCAGGUAGGGAUACCCGCUGAACUUAAGCAUAUCAAUAAGCGGAGGA
rnacentral:misc_RNA from 1 species